AGGGCCGUCGCCAAGCGGUAAGGCAACGGGUUUUGAUCCCGUCAUCCCCAGGUUCGAAUCCUGGCGGCCCUGCCA
rnacentral:tRNA from 3 species